AUUGAACGCUGGCGGCAUGCCUAACACAUGCAAGUCGAGCGGCAGCAGGGAUCUUGCCCCCGGGUGCAGCGGCGGGCGGGGGUGUGAUGCCCAUGAGUAUGCCUCGUGUAGGGGGAGAAAGUCCGGAGACAGGCGCUUAUAUAGCGCACGCGCUGAAGGGGUAAGUGGGGGGGCCUUGGAGCCCUCGCGCUCAGGGGAUCCUAGGUCGGAUUAGCUAGUUGGUGGGGUAAAGGCCUACCAAGGCGACGAUCCGUAACUGGUCUGAGAGGAUGAUCAGUCACACUGGGACUGAGACACGGUCCAGACUCCUACGGGAGGCAGCAGUGGGGAAUAUUGGACAAUGGGCGAAAGCCUGAUCCAGCCAUGCCGCGUGUGUGAAGAAGGUCUUCGGAUUGUAAAGCACUUUAAGUUGGAAGGAAGGGCAGUAAGUUAAUACCGUGCUGUUUUGACGGUACCAACAGAAUAAGCACCGGCUAACUUCGUG
rnacentral:rRNA from 1 species